rnacentral:misc_RNA from 1 species
GAUGAAGAACGUAGCGAAAUGCGAUAACUAAUGUGAAUUGCAGAAUUCCGUGAAUCAUCGAGUCUUUGAGCGCACAUUGCGCCCCCUGGUAUUCCGGGGGGCAUGCCUGUCCGAGCGUCAUUGCUGCCCAUCAAGCACGGCUUGUGUGUUGGGUCCCGUCCCCCUCUCCCGGGGGACGGACCCGAAAGGCAGCGGCGGCACCGCGUCCGGUCCUCGAGCGUAUGGGGCUUUGUCACCCGCUCUUGUAGGCCCGGCCGGCGCUUGCCGACACCCAACCAUUUUUUUCAGGUUGACCUCGGAUCAGGUAGGGAUACCCGCUGAACUUAAGCAUAUCAAUAAGCGGAGGA